GUUGUAGCUCAGUGGUAGAGUGCAUGCCUAGCAGCGCAGGUGUCCAGGUUCAAUCCCUAGCAUG
rnacentral:tRNA from 1 species